GACGAACGCUGGCGGCGUGCUUAACACAUGCAAGUCGAACGAAGAGCGAUGGAAGCUUGCUUCUAUCAAUCUUAGUGGCGAACGGGUGAGUAACGCGUAAUCAACCUGCCCUUCAGAGGGGGACAACAGUUGGAAACGACUGCUAAUACCGCAUACGAUCUAACCUCGGCAUCGAGGAUAGAUGAAAGGUGGCCUCUACAUGUAAGCUAUCACUGAAGGAGGGGAUUGCGUCUGAUUAGCUAGUUGGAGGGGUAACGGCCCACCAAGGCGAUGAUCAGUAGCCGGUCUGAGAGGAUGAACGGCCACAUUGGGACUGAGACACGGCCCAGACUCCUACGGGAGGCAGCAGUGGGGAAUCUUCCGCAAUGGACGAAGGUCUGACGGAGCAACGCCGCGUGAGUGAUGACGGCCUUCGGGUUGUAAAGCUCUGUUAAUCGGGACGAAAGGCCUUCUUGCGAAUAGUUAGAAGGAUUGACGGUACCGGAAUAGAAAGCCACGGCUAACUACGUG
rnacentral:rRNA from 1 species